rnacentral:rRNA from 1 species
GAUGAACGCUGGCGGCGUGCUUAACACAUGCAAGUCGAACGGGAAACCUUUUAUUGAAGCUUCGGCAGAUUUAGCUGGUUUCUAGUGGCGGACGGGUGGGUAACGCGUGGGUAACCUGCCUUAUACAGGGGGAUAACAGUCAGAAAUGGCUGCUAAUACCGCAUAAGCGCACAGAGCUGCAUGGCUCAGUGUGAAAAACUCCGGUGGUAUAAGAUGGACCCGCGUUGGAUUAGCUGGUUGGGGGGGUGACGGCCCACCAAGGCGACGAUCAAUAGCCGGGCUGGGAGGGUGAACGGCCACAGUGGGACUGAGCCACGGCCCAGACUCCUAGGGGAGGCAGCAGUGGGGAAUAUUGCACAAUGGAGGAAACCCUGAUGCAGCGACGCCGCGUGAAGGAAGAAGUAUCUCGGUAUGUAAACUUCUAUCAGCAGGGAAGAUAAUGACGGUACCUGACUAAGAAGCCCCGGCUAACUACGUG